GCUUCCCCUGAUAAGUGUUUCUGCUUUUCAGAUUCUUUCUUUCCCCUUGCUCCUGUUUUUGUUUAUCUGAGUUGUCAGUAUAAUGCCAACAUUCAAUUGUCUCAUGCCCAAACUUGAGACAAUUAUUACAAAAAGUUGGUUUCCAGUCAUAUUCAACAGAUUGAAUCUUAGGUCCAUAUGGAGUAUCAAUUUCUAACUCAUCUGGAAGAUCAUAAGCAGCAUUAACUUCAACAAGUACUCUAGCAAAUGAAAUCUUGUCAUAAUGGGC
rnacentral:lncRNA from 1 species